UACGGGGGGGGCGAGCGUUAUUCGGAAUUAUUGGGCGUAAAGGGCGCGUAGGCGGCCUUCUAAGUCGAACGUGAAAUCCCCGGGCUCAACCCGGGAACUGCGUCCGAUACUGGAUGGCUUGAAUCCGGGAGAGGGAUGCAGAAUUCCAGGUGUAGCGGUGAAAUGCGUAGAUAUCUGGAGGAAUACCGGUGGCGAAGGCGGCAUCCUGGACCGGCAUUGACGCUGAGGAGCGAAAGCCAGGGGAGCAAACGGG
rnacentral:rRNA from 1 species